AGUGCAGGGGGUCUCCCGGCAAGGGUGGCCGCAGGGGAUGACGGGAGUGCGGGGGGCCUCCCAGCAAGGGUGGCCGCGGGGGACGACGGGAGUGCGGGGGGGGGCCUCCCGGCAAGGGUGGCCGCGGAGGACGACGGGAAUGGAGUGGGCCUCCCGGCAAGGGUGGCCGCGGGGGACGAUGGGAGUGCGGGGGGCCUCCCGGCAAGGGUGGCCGCAGGGGAUGACGGGAGUGUGGGGGGCCUCCCAGCGAGGGUGGCCGCGGGGGACGACGGGAAUGCAGCGGGGCUUCCGGGAGAAGGCUGGCCAGCCCACCUUGCGGGGCUGUGGGGUGGUGUUAAUGUGGCUGCCUUGUGAUUCGAUUUCUGUGUCGCUGUUUCCAGGUUUGCUGAGCCUGCAGGUGUUGAACGAUGAAAUGAGUGACUGCAAGGAAGAGAGGCCCGUCCCGGCCACCACCCCGGGGAGGCCCGUGCAGAGGAGGAACAGCUGGAACCUCCUGAAGUGCACCUACAUGGUGUUCACCUUCCUGUUCGUGUCCUACAACAAAGGAGACUGGUGUUACUGCCACUACUGUAACCCGGACCAGGACAUCAGAUUCAGUGGUGAGCAGGGUGGAGAAGGUUUCUGUGCUCAUGAGAAGACAGAAACCAAGUGAAAAGAGGACCGCAGCUGACAUGGAAGCUCCGGAGGCAAAGAACAGUGGGGCCCUUGUCCGUCACUGGGUGGCCCUGGAGAGCCUCUUGGGAGGUGACAGGGAACCAAAGGUCUGAAGUCGGAGCAGCAGCCAGCCACUCAGAAAGCCAGAGCGUCUCCGGGGAAAGGGACCUGCUCAGCAAAGGCCCUGGGGUAGAAAGUGCCUGAGCCGAGUGGGGAGCCGGCUGAGGGAGGGUGGGGCCGGAGGACACAGAGGGCGUUUGGCUUCGAUCCUGGGAGCUGCUCAAAGGUCUCACAGGGAAAAACGGUGUUCCCUGACUGGGAGUAAAGAGGGGGUCCAGCAAGCAGCCAUUGUCGCUGUGCGGCCCAGGGCCAGCUCUGGCGGGCACGGAGGGGAAGAGGUGAGCGGCCGCCUGCCUCUCCUGCCCUGCCAGCCUCUCACCCGCUCCCAGCAGCCGGAGCCCCCCUUAAAUCACACACAGUGGUCAUGUUGCGCCCUGGCUGAAAACCCACCGAGGAACCUCACCAGCUGUCGGCAGAUCCCCAUCUGAAAAACAAAGCAAAGCCGGGGGCUUUCUCCUGAGAGCUUACGCGGACCCCAGGACAGCACUGUGA
rnacentral:lncRNA from 1 species